GUGGGUUGACUUGGAAGGACAAAAAAAAAUCAAAAGAUGGCAGAAAGUUAGAUAUUAGAGCUAGGAGACAUCAAAAUAGGACUUUUAUCAUCGUCAACGAGCUUGUGCUUGUGGCCUACAGAUGAAUUAUCCGUGUCAUCGUCAAGAUCUAGCUGCUGGAUACCCGUCUGCUACUGCUCAUAUCUGCUUGUCCUCCUGCACCCACUGAAGUGUCGUCCACGACUCGACCAUUGCUCACUCUCUUACUGCACAUCCAUGAGAUUUUACAAACUUCAUAUUGACUUGACACUAAUCAAAAGCAGUACGAAAACAUCACUCAAACAC
rnacentral:lncRNA from 1 species